rnacentral:rRNA from 1 species
ACAGUGCCAGGUCGAGCGGACACGAUGGUAGCUCUGCUACCAGGCGUCGAGCGGCGGACGGGUGAGUAAUACUUAGGAAUCUACCUAGUAGUGGGGGAUAGCACGGGGAAACUCGUAUUAAUACCGCAUACGACCUACGGGAGAAAGGGGGCAGUUUACUGCUCUCGCUAUUAGAUGAGCCUAAGUCGGAUUAGCUAGAUGGUGGGGUAAAGGCCUACCAUGGCGACGAUCUGUAGCUGGUCUGAGAGGAUGAUCAGCCACACCGGGACUGAGACACGGCCCGGACUCCUACGGGAGGCAGCAGUGGGGAAUAUUGGACAAUGGGGGAAACCCUGAUCCAGCCAUGCCGCGUGUGUGAAGAAGGCCUUUUGGUUGUAAAGCACUUUAAGCAGUGAAGAAGACUCUUCGGUUAAUACCCGUAGACGAUGACAUUAGCUGCAGAAUAAGCACCGGCUAACUCUGUGCCAGCAGCCGCGGUAAUACAGAGGGUGCAAGCGUUAAUCGGAAUUACUGGGCGUAAAGCGAGCGUAGGUGGCUUGAUAAGUCAGAUGUGAAAUCCCCGGGCUUAACCUGGGAACUGCAUCUGAAACUGUUAGGCUAGAGUAGGUGAGAGGGAAGUAGAAUUUCAGGUGUAGCGGUGAAAUGCGUAGAGAUCUGAAGGAAUACCGAUGGCGAAGGCAGCUUCCUGGCAUCAUACUGACACUGAGGCUCGAAAGCGUGGGUAGCAAACAGGAUUAGAUACCCUGGUAGUCCACGCCGUAAACGAUGUCUACUAGUCGUUGGGUCCCUUGAGGACUUAGUGACGCAGCUAACGCAAUAAGUAGACCGCCUGGGGAGUACGGCCGCAAGGUUAAAACUCAAAUGAAUUGACGGGGGCCCGCACAAGCGGUGGAGCAUGUGGUUUAAUUCGAUGCAACGCGAAAAACCUUACCUGGUCUUGACAUAUCUAGAAUCCUGCAAAAAUGCGGGAGUGCCUUCGGGAAUUAAAAU